UGCCAGAUCGUCUAAUGGUAGGACACCAGUUUUUGGUACUGGGUAUCUAGGUUCGAACCCUAGUCUGGCAA
rnacentral:tRNA from 1 species